GACGAACGCUGGCGGCGUGCCUAACACAUGCAAGUCGAGCGAGGAACUUCGGUUCCUAGCGGCGGACGGGUGAGUAACACGUGGGCAACCUGCCUUGUAGAGGGGGAUAGCCUUCCGAAAGGAAGAUUAAUACCGCAUAACAUCACGAAAUCGCAUGGUUUUGUGAUCAAAGGAGCAAUCCGCUACAAGAUGGGCCCGCGGCGCAUUAGCUAGUUGGUGAGGUAACGGCUCACCAAGGCGACGAUGCGUAGCCGACCUGAGAGGGUGAUCGGCCACAUUGGAACUGAGAAACGGUCCAGACUCCUACGGGAGGCAGCAGUGGGGAAUAUUGCAUAAUGGGGGAAACCCUGAUGCAGCAACGCCGCGUGAGUGAUGAAGGCCUUCGGGUUGUAAAGCUCUGUCUUCAGGGACGAUAAUGACGGUACCUGAGGAGGAAGCCACGGCUAACUACGUGCCAGCAGCCGCCGUAACAC
rnacentral:rRNA from 1 species